GAUGAUCCAAAAAUCAAGCAUAGUUCAAUCAGACCUAUCAUGAUCGACACACUUCCAUCUAGUCUUUCGCUCCUAUCUGA
rnacentral:snoRNA from 1 species